GGCUUCGUUUUCCCGCAGUAGGAUUUUCAGGAAAGGACAGGGCCGGGCGCAGUGGCUCACGCCUGUAAUCCCAGCACUUUCAGAGGCCGAGGCGGGUGGAUCACGAGGCUAAGAGAUCGAGACCAUCCUGGUCAACGAGAAACAGGUUUAGUUAAGGAAAAACGUGGGCAGAAAGUCCACCUAAAAGAUAUUUUAAGGAAGACAAAACACAGAUGGCACAAAAUCCAAAGCUGCCCGGAGUUUGGUAGACUCAGGAGCCACGGUGAAGAGGGCAGACUCCAGAUCAGAGGGCCUGGGCUUCCAUUCUGGCUCUGACUCUGUGAUUUUAGGUACAUGCACCCCUCUGCAGACGAGACCACACACGUUUAACACAGUUGUGGCAUGAGAUCUGAAGGCGUGAGAUCUACCUUCCUGCCCCCAGCAUGAAAUGGUGAAACAGCAUUUCAUUUGGCUGGUGACCUCCCCUGGACUUAGUUACCACCUCUGCAGAAAGGGGGCAGUAACAGGACCUGCAGCACAUCUGUUGUCAUGAAGACCACAUGCGCUAAUACACGUGGGAAGCCUUUAGCACAGCGCCUGGGAGAGCAUAAAAGGCUCGGUGCAAGGCAGAAGAAAGGCGUGUCCUGGUAUGACAGGGCCCUUCCGACCAGGGCUGGUACUAAGGCUCCCAACUUGAGAAUGUGAGCUUCGCGAGGCCAGAGACUUCAGUCUAAAUUGUUUGCUGCUGAAUCUGCGGAGCCAGGAGUGUACCUGGAACACAGUGGUGGCUCCAUCCGCUUGGACAAAUACAUUUGGGGCUUCCCAUUUUGCCUCGAUAUAGUUCAACCUACAUCAGAUGAUGCUGUGCCUUGGAGCUCUCCUUACCCAGAGUGAAAGCCAAAGUUCUCCACAGGACCUGUAAGGCCCUACCUGGUCUGUCCCUGUCCUGUCCCUAUCAGACCUCUUCUCUCCCCACUCUUGCCCUCACUCACCCUGUGCAGACACACCAGCCCCUCAUGGCUCCUCAUACUCCUGCCUCAGGACCUUUGCACAUGCUGAUCCUAUGGCUGGAACCCCCUUUCCCCCAGAUAUCAGUAUGAUUUCUCCUUUUCAUCCAGGUUUCUGUUCAGAUGUCACCACCUCCAGAAAGACCGUCUAGACACACUCCACUCAAUGACCUGAAAGGAUCUUGCUGAAAUGUUAAUUUAUUACAUUUUGGAUUUUUGUUUUGUUUUGUUUUGGAGACAAGGUCUUGCUCUGUUACCCACGCUGCAAUGCAGUUGCACAAUCUUGGCUCACUAUAGCCUCAAUCUCCUGGGUUCAAGUGAUCCUUCCACCUCCAAGUAGCUGGGACCACAGGUGUGCACCACCACACCCAGCUAAAUUUUUUUGUUUUUUUAGUGGAGACAGGAUCUCACUAUGUUGCCCAGGCUAGUCUCAAACUCCUGGGUUCAAGGGAUCGGCCCGCCUCAGCCUCCCCAAGUGCUGGGAUUAUGCCACUGCGCCCAGCCUAAUGUUAGCUUCUUUAUUGUCUGUCUCCCCUACCCAGCCCACAAACCCUGCCCUCUUGGAGUGCACCUUCUAGUGAGCCAGAUGGGCACCUCUUUGAAGUGGUGGCAUUUGAGUUGUGCCUUGAAGGACAGAUGCUGCUGAUCAUGGCGGAAAUUGAAGAAAGGUCUUUCCUGGCAGAGGGAACAGGCAGCGCAAAGGCCUAGGGGCUGCUCAAGUCCCUGCUAUAGAGCACUUAGAGUGUCCUGCCUAGUGGGUGAUGAGUCCCCAGGCUACACACAGCUGCUGGAAGAGUGCCCCAAGUCAUCGGAAAGCCAUGUGGUGUGGACAGGAGCCGGGCAGGCUGGACACACAAAGGCCCAUUGACAGCCACAUGGGAAGGGCCCAAGGCAGCUCCCUCUUGUCAACUCCCAAGGAGCUUUGGGUGGAGACAAUAGAAAGGCCAGAACUUCUCAGGAGACUCAGGUUUCCCUGGGGUGGGGAGGAAACGCAGGCAGCUUGGUCACUGGGACAUGCAGGCAGCCUUCUGAGGCUUCUGCAGUCCCCAACCCUGAUUCUAAGUCUAGCCCUGCCUCCCACAGUGGCCUUGACCGUGUCAUGCUCCCUCUCAGAGCCUAAAUUCCCUCAUCUCUAACACAAGGUGAGAGCCGGGUGCAGUGGCUCACGCCUGUAAUUUCAGCACUUUGGGAGGCCAAAGUGGGUAGAUCGCUUGAGUCCAGGAGUUUGAGACCAGCUGGACAACAUGGUGAAACCCCGUCUCUACAAAAGAUACAAAAAUUAGCUGGGCAUGGUGGUGCAUGCCUGUAGUCCCAGCUACUCAGGAGGCUGAGGUGAGACAAUCACUUGAGCCCAGGAGAUCGAGGCUGCAGUGAGCCAAGAUCUUGCCACUGCACUCAAGCCUGGGCAACAGAGCAACACUCAGUCUAAAUGAGUGAAUAAGUGAAUGAAUGAACAAAUCAAUUAAUUAAAUGGGGUGAAACAUAGAAGCAACCUUCCUGCGAUGGUGUGAGACUGCCUGGGUAGAGUGGUGGGAAGCAGGCCUGACCCAGCAGGUGUUUAACAGCAGGUGGUCAGCUAUGGUGGCUGGCUGGAGUGGCCGUCUGUGGCGGUCAGUAGUAGUGGUCAGCCAUAGUAGUCAGCUUUCCUGGUUGUCUAUCAUGACACUAAGCAUGGAGAUGCGCAGGUGAGCCUGGCUGGGGUUUCGGUCAGACAGACCUGGGUUCCACAGAUCUCCUGCUUUCCAGUGUGGGGUGGGUACAAUCUCCUUUGCCCAAGCCUCAGUUUCCCCAUCCAUCAGAUGGGGAUAAUGAGAGCCCCACACAGGGCAGUGACUGCAAAGCACCCAGCACAGAGGCCCCAGCAUGAUUAUAGAAUGUUCCAGGGCUUUGGAGGGCAGCCUGGGAAGAGCAGGCUAAGGAAAGCACAGGCCUCCCAGCUGAAGCAGAUCUUCAGAGCCAGCAGGGGAAGGGUGGCUGCAAACUAGCAGGAGCUGAGCCUCCCUCCAUGGGCAGGUGGGAAGCAUGAGGCAUGUUCCCAGGCUGAUAAUAGGAAGCAUUUCUGGAAAGGCCCAGCUGAAUAGUGAAGAGAACAGAGCAAAAAUGUGAAGAAUGCAGACCUAGGGUCAGCCUGCUGGGCUCAAGUCCCCUGGACUAGCUAUGUGCCCUUGGGCAAGUUACUAAACCUCUCUGUGCCUUGAUUUCUUCAUCUGUGAAACAGGGACGAGAACAUCCCUACUAGGCUACGGAGUUGAUGACGUCCUGAUGAGAGACCACUUCUACAAAGAAUGGCCCAUAGGCUGAGGGCCUGAAACAAUGACACGGACCAGGCAUGGUGGUGCGUGCCUGGAGUGCCAGCUACUCCAGAGGCUGAGGUAGGAGGAUCGCUUGAGCCCGUGAGGUUGAGGCUACAGUGAGCUGAGAUUGUAUACUGCACUCCAGCCUUGGUGACAGAGCAAGUCCCUGUUUCAAAUAAAUAAAUAAAUAAAUGAUGUUGGACUGAGAGAGAAUCAACACCCACCCAGGCUCAGCGGGGAACAUACGUGGGCAGGGCCAGGAAGAGCCAGGAGGAAUCUGGGGCAAGCCCUGCAUGUUUGUGUGAGCGCAGCCAGGUGUCAGGGUAGGGGGGCAGCAGGAGCAGAAACCCUGAGAAUAUAAAACAACUCGGCAGCAGUGGCAGUAGCCUCCGGGACCCUGAGAGCUACUAACACAGCCAGUGGGACCCACGCAACAAGAGCAAGCGUUCUGAGAUCAGAAGUGUGGACUUUGGCCUGGGGCAACAGGACGCUACUGAAGAUUCGGAAGUCAAGGGUCAGGACCCUCCUACCCUGAGAGUUGAUAUAACUAGGAUACUCCACAGUUUCACCCCUAGCACCUACCUUGGGGUCUGCCACACGGUAGGUGCUCAGGGAAAUAAUUUUAAAUAAAGAAAUGCAUUAAUGAGUGAAUGAGAAACUGGCUAGUAAAAGCUGCUCUUAUUUUGCCCUUCUUCACCCACAUAGCACAGGGCACCUCCAGGGACCUGGACACAGAGGGACCAGCAAAGCCGAAUGUCUGGAGUAGGAACGAGCUCAAGGAGACAUAGACACAGUGAGGAGGCCAGAGCGGCUGGAAUAGGAAAACAAAGGGAGCGUUGGGAGGGGAGGCCCCUCGGAGAUGAGGCGGACUCCUCAAGGCCUUGCCGGUAGGGAAUAGGGCUUCCUUCCAAGUGCAGUGGGAGCCUCCAGAGGGUUUAGUAGUUUUUUGCUUUUUUUUUUUUUUUCCCAGACAGGGUCUUGCUCUGUCACCCAGGCUGGAGUCCAGUGGUGCGAUCUCAGCUCACUGCAUCCUUGACCUAAUAGGCUCAAGGGAUCCUCCUACCUCAGCCUCCUGAGUAGCUGGGACUCCAGGCACCCACCACCACACCUGGCUAAUUUUUUUACUUUUUGUGGAGAUGGAGACUUGCUAUGUUGCCAGGGCUGGUCUCAAACUCCUGAACUCAAGCGAUCCUCCUGCCUCAGCCUCCUAACAUGCUGGGAUUACAGGCAUGAGCCAACACACCCAGCCAGUUGCAUUUUAAAUCCUAUCAAAGAGUGUAGGCAUUAUUAUCAUCCCCAUUUCACAGAUGAGGAAACUGAUGAGCAGAGAUUGAAUGAUUUACCUAAGGUCACACAGCUGCGUAGAGACCGUGCCAGGAUUCAGCCCCAGCCCACUGGGCUGUGGGAUCUGCAGGGCUGGAGAGGAUUGAACGAUGCCAGCUGGAGGCCGCACAGGUCCCCAUCUGCUAAGCCCUGCCCUGUGACCUAGGUGACAGUGGGUGUUGGCAGGCAUGAAGGACCUACACCGUGGGAAUGUGGGGAACAUGACCAGGCCCUGCUGAGUCACCAGGCCUGGCCGGAGCUAACCUCCAAUGGCUGGGAGCCGCCCCAGGGUCCGUCCUUGGUGCCCUGCCCAGCAGCUGCCAAGCACAGCCACUGACGCCUGGGCUGGAUGUCCCGAAGAAGCCAGAGUGACAAACAACCCCCAGAUCUGCCCUCCUCCCUUUGCUGUGUGGCCUUGGGCAAAUCCCCGGCCCUCCCUGGCCUGCAGUGCCCCUGCUGUCUGGCUCAAGCCCCAGGCCGCAGUGCUCCUCCCUUUGUGCUGGGUAGAAUCCUGGCCAAUUCCUGAUACUGAGUUUGGAACAGGGCAGAAAGGCAGGACGGAUAAAUACAGGCAGUGGGGAAGCUGUGGGCCUCACAGGACUAGACUCCUGUGGGUGUAGCAGAGGCCAAGCCUACCUCAUCAGAACCCCAGGGGCCGAGGCUCCACCCAGAUAACAGGACACAAGAAGAGAGCGCUUCCUAAGCAGAAAUCAGCUUCUAUAAGCAAAAUAGAUAGGGCAAGCCAGCUAGCAUUUAUUGAGCACUUAAUAUGUGCUAGGCAUUCUACAGCUAUUAUCUAACUUAAUCUUCUUAAUAAUGGAUGAGGAUGAUGAUGCAUGGUGAUUCCCAUUUUGCAGAUGAGGAAACUAAGACCUAAAGAGGUAAAGCCCUGGCUGGGAACAGUGGCUCAUGCCUGUCAUCCCAGCACUUUGGGAGGCCAAGACAGGCAGAUCACGAGGUCAGGUGUUUGAGACCAGUCUGUCCAAUAUAGUAAAACUCCAUCUCUACCAAAAAUACAAAAAUUAGCCUGUAGUCCUGGCUACUUAGGAGGCUGAGGCAGGAGAAUAGCUUGAACCCAGGAGGCGGAGGUUGCAGUGAGCUGAGACCACCACUGCACUCCAGCCCGGGUGACAGAAGGAGACUCCAUCUCAAAAAAAAAAAAAAAAAAAGUAAAGGCCUUGUUCAAGGUUCCCAAGCCAGGAAGUGGCAAAGCCAGGGUGAAAUCCAAGUCCGUGUCAUUCCAGAGUCCCUUUCCCUGGACCUCAGAUUCUAAAGCUCUAGUCCCCCCCAGCCCCCCAGUAAAGUACAGCAUUCAGAACUGAGCCUCAAGGGACCAGCCAGGCCUGAUCGUGAACUUCGGAGCAAGGGAGGAUUGUCAGUGCAGUGAAGUGAGUCUGGUGGGGCCUGAUGGCCUCCUGGGGACAGCCUGGGACAAUCACAAAUGGAAGCUGCCUCUGUGCUGGAGCCUGCCCUGUCCUGGGGAUCUCUCCCACCCAGGACGAGCCCACCUCAACAUACAAGUCACCUGGGGCCCACGUAGCCCAUUUUAGGGAUGCAAAACCCAAGGCCCAGAAUGUCCCUGUAACGUGCCCAAGGUCUCAUAGUGAGCACACGGUUGGUAAUACUGGAACCCAGUUGCCUCUCUCAUGCAGCCUCAGUUUCUCCUCCUCCCAGGAUCUCCAGUGUUAAAAAACAUAUGAUGAGGCCAGGCGCCGUGGCUCACACCUGUAAUCCCUGCACUGAGGGAGACCACGGCGGGAAGAUCACCUGAGGUCAGGAGUUCAAGACCAGCCUAGCCAACACAAUGAAACCCGGUCUCUACUAAAAAUACAAAAAUUAGCCAGGCAUGGUGGCGGGUGCCUGUAAUCCCAGCUACUCAGGAGGCUGAGGCAGGAGAAUUGCUUGAACCCGGGAGGCAGAGGUUGCAGUGAGCCGAGAUUGUGCCAUUGCACUCCAGCUCUCCGAGACAGAGUGAGACUCUGUCUCAAAAACAAACAAGCCAAAAAAAAAAAAAAAAAACAACCCUACAAUGUGCUCCCUUGACCCUGGUCAUCUUCCAACAAGCGUCCAGUGCUCCGCCCUGCCUAUGGCUGAACUUCUGGUGGAAGCGGUGCAUACUCCUCCACCCACUUCCACACCGCCACCCUCUCCUUGGUGACCUUGAGCAGGCCUCCAGCCUCUGUGCCACCAAAUGGCUCUUGGCGUUGCCAUCCUUGCUGCCAAGUCCCGCCAUGGGAUCCCAUACUCAUAGCCACUUCUCAGCAGCGUCCGACACUGCUGACCGCCCUCUCCUUCCCGAAACAUCCUCCUAGAAACGCCUCCAUUCCUGACACUAGAUGCUCCAUGGGUCCUGCCCCUCCUCCUCCUUCCUGGCAGUUCCACUCUGUGACAUUA